UACGUAGGGUGCGAGCGUUAAUCGGAAUUACUGGGCGUAAAGCGUGCGCAAGCGGUUUGUUAAGACAGAUGUGAAAUCCCCGGGCUUAACCUGGGAACUGCAUUUGUGACUGGCAAGCUAGAGUAUGGCAGAGGGGGGUAGAAUUCCACGUGUAGCAGUGAAAUGCGUAGAGAUGUGGAGGAAUACCGAUGGCGAAGGCAGCCCCCUGGGCCAAUACUGACGCUCAUGCACGAAAGCGUGGGGAGCAAACAGG
rnacentral:rRNA from 1 species